rnacentral:tRNA from 1 species
GGGGAUGUAGCUCAGGGGUAGAGCACCUACUAGCAUGCAAGAGGCCUGGGUUCAAUUCCCAGUACUGCCA